AUUUUUAAUUGCAAUGACGUUGCAAUAUCCUGUUUUAGAUGCGUUCAUAUACCGUGAAAUUCAUAAUAAGCAUUUUUAAUUGGACUGAUUUUGCAGUUUUACUUCCUGUUUAGUGGAGUAUAUAUACUGGCUGUAUUUUCACCUAAAAUAUUGUCUUCUACAAGAUGUCAUGCAAAAGACAGAUAUCAGAAAUUUCUUCUGUAGUCGUCGAGGAAGAGGAGCCACCUCGAAAGAAGCCAUCUGUAAUGUCUGCACAGACAAUAUUGAGAUUUCUAUAUCCAGACGGUCUUCCUCUAUUGCAAAUAUUUCGAGUGAUGAAAGAUGGAGACAGAAGUUCUGGAUCUAGUGGACGAAGCUCUCCUGGAGACGUGGGAGACAGUUGCAGACUUCCUGAAGAAUU
rnacentral:lncRNA from 1 species